rnacentral:lncRNA from 1 species
UGUAAAUCAUCCAUACUUGUAUAGUGGGCUAAUGCUCCAUGGAUAAUCAAGUUGGGCUAAAACCCAUAGGAUGGUCCAUGGAUGCUCCAUGGUGUAUUUGUACCCAUGGAUCAUGGAAAUGAAAGGCCAUGUCAAUUAGGGUUUACAUGGUGUAACCCUAACUAUAUAAGCAUCUUAUUCUUGACCAAAAUCGGCCACUAGAGUGUGAAGAAAAAGGUCUAGCCGAUUUCAUGAGUUGUAGAAUUCUCUCAAGUUAUUCCAAGUGUUUUGGUGAUUGUGAUUCCAUUUGAGGCUUCGACACUAUUGGGGCUAGGCACUCAAGCUUCAUGAAGACUUUCUACAUCAAAGAGGUAUGUAUUCUAUCUUGUUACACUCAUUGUUUUGUAUGCUAGAUUAGGAUAAUACCUUGGAAGUUCUUAUUUGCAUGUAUAAUAGAGAAAACAUAGAUCCAAGGUAUUUAGGGUUGCAUGUACACUUAGGAGUGUUAGAAUGCUCAAAACCCAACAGUGGUAUCAGAGCCUAGGCUUGUUUUCUUGUUAUACUUGCAAAAGAAGCUGAAAAAACGAAUCUGGUGCUGUCUGGCCAUCAGACUCGGCGAGUCCAUCAGGAGACUCGACGAGUCCAUGCCUAAAAAGUGAUGAAUUCGAUCCAACUCGCCGAGUUUGUUCAUGCACUCGACGAGUUGGACCCCCAGACAGCAUAUUUUCGAGUUUUUUGGCUAGAAAUGGACUAGGAACAUUACCCUAAGUUGUUUUUGAACUUAUAAACUUGUUUUUGAUGUGGUAAUGUUCAUGCUAAUCCAUUUUCAAAGAUAAUUGUCAAUAGAUUCAUGUUUUGUAUUAGUUUAAGGUUUAGACUAAUUACAUGAAAAAGUUUGAUUUGAAUUAUCUUGUUCUUAUGAGUUGCUUAGAUUAAUAGAAAAGUUAAUUGAAAUAGUUGUUUUCAAUCCAUUUUAAUCUAAGAGUUGAGUAUAAAAUGUGUUUGUGUAACUUGUCCUCAAGUUACAUGAAGAGUCACAUUAAAGACUCAUAAAAUUCAUAAAAGUUGGCAAUGGUUACAAAAUGAAGAGUCUUGUGUCAUUGAAUAAUUUUUUUUGACUCCAUAACUUGUCCUCAAGUUAUGGAAGUUCAAGAGUCACUUCAUUAAAGAAAAAUAUGUAACCAUAAUUAAAUCCAUAAGUUAUAAAAUAAAGAAAAAGUUAGUUCUUUUAUUAGUUUAAAGUCUUCCAUAACUUGUCCUCAAGUUAUGGAACUUGAAGAGUUUUUGGAUUAAAACUACUUUAAACACAUAAGUUAUGGAAUUAAUUAGUUUUGAAUAGUUUCAAAACUUGCCCUCAAGUUUUGGAAUUUGAAAAGUUUUCACUUAUGAAUACUUUAAUUCCAAGUUAGCCCUUAGAAUUUUAAAAGUUAAAAUUCAACCCUUAUACUUUAUAAUAUUAUAAGUUAAUAAUAUAUAUAUGUAUAAGAGUAAAGUCAGUCUUACCGCUAGUACGCCUCAUUCACGAAGCCGGUCUAUAAGGUGGGUAUAAGGUUGUUGCCUAUAAAAUGGCAACUUAAUGGGUGUCCACUCUCACCCACCGCUUGCUUGACUGGUGGAGGGUCGUUAGCCGAACGGGUUUGACAGGACUAGAAUUCUCCCUUCAUUAAAAGUAUUAAUGAUAAUACUAAGUAACUAAACUCUUAAUAAUACCCAAUCUUAGUUACUUAGGAAAAAUGUGAAUAAGGUGCUAAUCCAUGAAAUUACACUUUACACUUUGUCUAAGUCGUUAGUGGAGCGUGUGUGGUUAACCGGCACACUAACUUGGACUUAACAAGGUAGGUAAAGGGUGACUUAAUAUUUAUCAUAGUAUCGAUGGAGCGUGUGUGGUUAACCGGCACAUCGAUUGAGGGGUAAUUUAUUAAGGGUACCAAGUGAUUUGCAUGGUUACUUCACACCUUGUUUUGUGAUCCUCGGCAUCCCAGUCACAAAACCUGAAGGGCACACUCGAGAUUGAAACAUGCCUUUGAAAAGUUCAAUGAAUCUCAAAGAUCUAGGAGUUUCAAAACCAAUUAAAACCUAAUAAUACAUUUCGUUUAUCUUGGUGGAAAUUGGUGAAUCGUCAUUCACCUACCUUCAAAUAUUUUAUAGCUUGGAUUACGGCAUACCUCUUCUAAGUUAUAAAAUAGUUUGUUGGGUCCUAGCCUUAAUAUUUCAUAUUGGGUGUCAUAUUAAGGACUUUAAAUCAACUAUCUUGAAUAUCUCCCAAAAGAUGUCUGGUUUAGACACCUAUGAUCUUCCCAAAUCUCUUGAAACAAGGUUUCCUAAUGAAGAUGAUGUCCCAUGGAUAUCAUACUUCUUCACCUCUUCAAAUUAUUCUCCCUAACCCACAAGUUCUUGAAAAGUUUAAGGUCACUCAGGCCCUAUUGGCAAGGCAAGGUCUAGGUGUGGUCACAUCUUGGAGAUGUAGUCACAUAUUGACAAGCCGGGAGAGUUGGGUGUCAAAGUCUUGAGAAAGUUGGUGGUUCAACCACUUUCUAAGUCACAUAGUGAGUUCCUUUGGGACACCUAUGAAACAGACUAUGACAAGACCCUUAAUGAUCUUAUCUAUUUGCUAAGAUCAACUUCCUAAAACUUUAUGGACAUUGACAAUGAUGACAUUGGAUAUCCAGUAAAGCAUUCUCUUCCCAAUGGAAAGGGAUCGGCCAUAGUCAACUCGGUUGACCAAAUGGUAAAGAGAAAAGCUAAGUCUGUGAUAGUCCCGUGUACCAUUAUCAAAGGGUCCAUAUGUUUAUAUUGCCAAAGGAAGGGGCAUUGGUUGCGAAGCUGCCAAAUUUACCUAAGGAUGUUAAAGUCAAUAAGUUUGACUCUACUUCAGGUAAAGUCCACUAUCUAACUCUGUUAAGUUUCUAUUCUGAGAUUCUUGAUACAUGAUGUGACUGGGUCACAUGGUGAUGUUUUAAGAAUCAAAGAAAAGUGAAGAAACUUAAAGAAAGAAUAUGCUGAAUCUGAUGGCGUAGAUGGAUUUCUAUCGCAUAGUUUGAAGAUCGGAUUCUUGAGCUACUUCUUAGGAGUUAUGAGAUAUUGCUUAGGAAUAGAUAACAACAAGUUUUCAUAUGGAUUGUAAGGAUAAGUUUUUCCGCAAAGUUUUAAAAUAAAAGAAAAUUUUUUAUUUUAUUUAUUUUAAAAUAUCCUUACAAUGGCAUUUGAGGAAAAAUUGUUGCUUAUAUGAUUCCAUUAAGAGCAAGAGUGGAAAUAUGAAAUUGAUUCUUUCAUUUGUGGUAAUGUCUAAAUUUACCAAAUAAGGAAAGAUUCUCAUCACCCAAGUUUCAAUUGGACCGGAACUUGGAAUCAUGCAAGUUGUAUAGCAUGAUGAAUGAGAACUUUCAAGUUUUGGAAAAUUAAGACUAAUUACUUGUUCACAUGGAUGUGUGAGUCAAGUAAAGGACUUAGGGAUCGAGUACACAUUCUUGUGCACUGAUUAAGUCCACCACUAAAGAUCGAUAAGAAGAAUCAAAUAAGGCAGAAGGAUAAAAGUUUCUCAAAUCUGAAAAGAUGGGAGAGUACUUUAGUAUCAGUUUUGUGAUCAUCUUAAUGAUUAAGAAACCAUAUCAAAAUUAGUUCUCUAAGGAAAUCUUAGUGCAUUCUUAUGACUAAGAAGAGGAACUUGAAUUGUUGAAAUGGUUAAAUCAAGAAGAUGAGUCAUACUUCGUUCCAAUACAAGUCUUAGAGUCAUACUCCAAGAUUGUCAUUUGAGUGACAUGUCUUAAAGAAGGUUUAAAACACUUGUCAAAUGUAAGAGUAAAAGUUUUCUACUCUUGUACAUUUGAAAUUGGUAAGUUGUGAUGUUUUGGAUAAAACAAAGACCAACUUAGGCCAAUUGGGUAAAGUGUUUUUCUUGAUUAGAAUCCGCACUAUCUCUUGGAUGUUUGACAAGGGAGUCUUAUAUGUCAAGAGGACAGUGGGAGUCUUAAAGGUCUUGAAAGUCUCAAGAAAUAAUCAAGAAUAAAACCUAAAGUUCUUCACUAGCACACGACUUGAGGUUUAUAACCUAUCGUGUUGACAUAUCUGUGCCCAUUCCAGUUAAAGUUGGCUUUGCAUAUGAGUUCUUAGAGUUCUCAGUUUGUUGCAUAACAACUUGGAAGCAAUGGCAGGCCCUUGAGCUGCCAGGUGGCAAGAAGUUAAGAUUGAGUUCAAUCCAUAUGGUUUUGGAUUUGUCAUUAUCUUUGUCUUGUGAUUAUGGUUUGACAAAUUCAUAUGGGUAGGAACUCAUACACCAUAUAAAUCUAAGUGUCAUAAGGUUUCUCUCCGAUUCAUGAAAAUGAUGGUGAGGAAACGCUUUCACUAAGUAGAUUUUACGAAGAUAUCAAUUGUGUUAUUUGCAUUUUCAAAAGUCGUUAGUGGAGCGCGUGUGGUUAACCGGCACACUAACAUGGACUUGUGAGAAAUGGCAAAUGCCUAAGCAAUUGAGACCAUGAUUACGGUAUCCCUUUUCAUGGUUCUUGAAAUUGCUUAGACACACAGGUGAGCUAUCUACGGAAAGGGUGUAUGAAUCUAAAUUUCAGACUGUCCAGCUGAUUUCUGAGUACAUGUCAAAGCUAGUGGGAGCAUAAGUGUUAUGCUAAUAAUCAUCAUGUUAGUGGGAGCAUGAUAAUUAUGAUAAGUAUUGCAAGUUAGCAAUGUUAAUUAUAGAAAACAAAAGUUUCAAUUGGGAAAAAGUUGUUUUGCUAUAAUUAAGGGAGAGGAAAUUAUGCUUCAUCUCAAAUCUAUAAGCUUAGAUCGUGAGGUUUUAAUCAUUUAGUCAAGGAUAUAUAUGAAUUUCAUGUUGGAAUGGCUCAACAUAAGGAAAUUCUGUAUAUGGGUCCAUUAUUUGCGUUCUAAAAUUCGAUUAUGAUUACGGCAUCCCUUUUCAUAAUCUGAAUUAUGAGAACUUGGCAAAUUGAAAUGGAAAUAUUAUAGCAAAAGACUGGUUUAGUCUUUAUGUAAGACAUCAUGAAUCGUGUCCCAUAUGCUUCGGAUAUAGGAUCGAUUACAUGUGCUAUAUUCAUCCGUUCUAAAAUUUUCCAAAUGCCUGGGGCAUUAAGAAGGGAAAAGGUUUAGAACUGGAUAUGACUAAAAGGAUUAAACAAUUGUCGAGGACAAUCUAAGGUUUACCAAAGAUUGGUUACUCAAGGACAAUUGGAAGUAUAGUGAUAAUUCUGGAAGGACCAUAUUGACAUAAUCUGUAAGGAGGCAACUCUUGUUCAGAAGUGAUAGUCAAAAUGGAAUCUGGAAAUGUUUCAAAGUUAGAAUUUUCAAUCUGUGUAAGAUUAAGGAAACUUAAUGCAAGAAGGAUAUUUCCAAGGAGUUGAUCUCCUUUGGAAUACUCUGUAAUGAUUGUUGCCAAGUCUUUGUGACUUUGUGCAUAAUCAUUACAAGAGGAUCAAUGCAUAUAAGUUUAGAAUCUAACAGAUUUCAGUAAAUGGCAUGAAUUUGGAAUUCUUGCAUUUGCAGUAAGGAUUUGGGAGUGUGAAAAGAGAAUCAUUGAAGUUAUGUUCAAUUGAUCUAGUUCACAAAGUAAAGAUCAUAGACAAACAUAGUAUGCAUACUUGGUGUGUGGCAUGACUAGUGUUUAAGAAAACAUAGUGUACAUGCUUGGAGCAUGGGACAACUAUUGUUUUAAAUUCAAGAAUAAAGUUGAUAGCUGAAACAGUAUACAAUGAAUAAUGUGUAAUCAUAUGGUGAUAAAUAAAAGGUGUUUUAUUUAUGUUCAAAGGGUUGAUACCAUAUUGGAUUCAAUUAUUAUUGUGUUUCAUUUUGCAUGUUUUGACUUCCCGAAUAAACUGGGUUAUUCUUCCGGAAUGACUAAGUUAUUCAAACCAUCCACAGUCGGUCAUAUGUUGGAAGUAGAUAUGAAUUAAGACUGUCAUGGGUUGGCUUGUAGAGGUCUAAGGUGUUGGACAAAGGGCUACAACACUCAUGAGUGCUCAUAAGUUCUGAGUAUUGGAUUCAACCCGCGCUCAUUGGAAUCACUUCAUGGAUUUUAUCACGAGUGAUCAUGAGACGAUAAUAUCUUAUAUUCUUCAAACCUAGAGAUAUGAGUUGUUACUAUGAGUUGAUAGUACAUUGAUUGCACGAAAACGCAUUUGGUAACUCGGUGCUAUAAAACGUGCCUUUGUGUAUGAUUCAACAAGUAGUAGAACAAGCCAUAUGAGUCGAAGUUUAUCCAUUCCUUUUACCUUCGGGAUAAAAGCGAUAUCUGUGGGCCCCUCGAUGAUUUGAUGAUGACAAAUGGAAGUGCUCGGCCGGGCCAGGACUGAUUUGAUUUGUUCAAUUAGUCAGUCGUCAUAAAUCGGAAAUCGGGAAACAACAAAUGGACAGAGAGAAUGAUUAUAAUCCAUGUCUCAGUCCAUAUGAUAUCUAGAAUGGAGGAAUAUAUGAUCCCUUAUCUAAUGGACAAGUCAUUGACAAAGGUCAGAGUUCAUCUACAAGGUCAGAGUUCGACAGAAGCUUUUGAGAGCUACGAUUGCCAGUUGGUUCCUGAAGUCAUACGCAAUAAUAGUUUUAGACUUAUCCAAGUGGGAGACUGUUGGAUUAAUGUCUAAGUCCAUAACUAUAAUUGGUAAGACUUGACCCGACCCGGCAUGGUCCAUUUGGGUUGCAUACCAUCAUGCACUUGGAUAGACUAUAAUGAGAGAAAUAAGACACUUAUGGUUAUUAAUAUAUUAUAAGUUCUAGUAUAUUAAUAAUAAGAAUAAUAAGAUUAUUUAAUUAGUAUUGAUCAAGAAUUAAUCUAGGAUUAAUUAAGUGAUCAAAAGAAGACUAAUUAAAUAUAUGGGUUGAUUGUGUAAAUCAUCCAUACUUGUAUAGUGGGCUAAUGCUCCAUGGAUAAUCAAGUUGGGCUAAAACCCAUAGGAUGGUCCAUGGAUGCUCCAUGGUGUAUUUGUACCCAUGGAUCAUGGAAAUGAAAGGCCAUGUCAAUUAGGGUUUACAUGGUGUAACCCUAACUAUAUAAGCAUCUUAUUCUUGACCAAAAUCGGACACUAGAGUGUGAAGUAAAAGGGCUAGCCGAUUUCAUGAGUUGUAGAAUUCUCUCAAGUUAUUCCAAGUGUUUUGGUGAUUGUGAUUCCAUUUGAGGCUUCCACACUAUUGGGGCUAGGCACUCAAGCUUCAUGAAGACUUUCUACAUCAAAGAGGUAUGUAUUCUAUCUUGUUACACUCAUUGUUUUUGUAUGCUAGAUUAGGAUAAUACCUUGGAUGUUCUUAUUUGCAUGUAUAAUAGAGAAAACAUAGAUCCAAGGUAUUUAGGGUUGCAUGUACACUUAGGAGUGUUAGAAUGCUCAAAACCCAACAAUAGCCACUCGAGGCUAUAACUCUGUCGACCCUCCGGUCAAUGUGUCGUAGUGGGGCCCUCUAGCCCCAACUCUCUAUGGGCCCUCUUGCCCUAAAUCUAUGGACCCGAAGGUCCUUACUCUGUAACUCUAAAUCAUGCAUAUCACAUAUCACAAUAAUGCACAACACAUAAAUAACAUGCAAAUACACUAGCAUAUAACUCUAAAAUACUCUGUCACAUAACUCUGUUACCACAGUAGGUAAAGUAUAGUGAGAAGACUCACCUCAUACAUCGCGGUAAAUCUCUGACUUGGUAGAAAUAUUUCCUAGCCUCCGCCUAUUCACAUAAAGUAAAUACUCUCAUAAAUAUAACUCUCGAGACUAGACUCAACCCUCUAUUGGCACCCUCAGAAUGGUUAAAGACUAUUUUACCCCCCUCUUGACUCAAAGACCCCAUUGUUGACCAAACCCUAAAAGUCAACAAAAGUCAACGGUCAAACUUUGACCCAACUCGUCGAGUGCACUCUGGCGACUCGUCGAGUACACACAUGUUCACUAAUUAUUUUUCCUGCUUGGUACGUCGAGUCCCUCCCUAUGCUCAACGAGUCACACCUGGCAUGAAUCGUGGGGCCGCCCAGACUUAACUCGCCGAGUCUCAAGAACAACUCGGCGAGUACCACCUCGAACUCCAGUCCUCUAAUCCCCUUCAAACUCACUGAGUUAUCCCCCAACUUGGAA